UAAUGGCCUACCAAGGCGACGACGGGUAGCCGGCCUGGGAGGGCGACCGGCAUACACUGGGACUGAGACACGGCCAAGACUCCUACGGGAGGCAGCAGUGGGGAAUAUUGCGCAAUGGGCGAAAGCCUGACGCAGCGCCGCCUCGUGGGGGAUGAAUGCCUUCGGGUUGUAAACCCCUUUCAGCAGGGACGAAGCGAUGGUGACGGUUCCUGCAGAAGAAGCGCCGGCUAACUACGUGCCAGCAGCCGCGGUAACACGUAGGGCGCAAGCGUUGUCCGGAAUUAUUGGGCGUAAAGAGCUCGUAGGUGGUCUGUUGCGUCCGCUGUGAAAACCCACGGCUUAACCCUGGCCUUGCAGUGGAUACCGGGCAUACUAGUGGUAGGUAGGGGAGGAAUGGAAUCUCGCCGGUUGUAGCGGAUGAAAAUG
rnacentral:rRNA from 1 species